AGUGAACGCUGGCGGUAGGCCUAACACAUGCAAGUCGAACGGCAGCACAGUAAGAGCUUGCUCUUACGGGUGGCGAGUGACGGAUGGGUGAGGAAUACAUCGGACUCUACUUUUUCGUGGGGGAUAACGUAGGGAAACUUACGCUAAUACCGCAUACGACCUACGGGAGAAAGCAGGGGAUAUUCGCACCUUGCGCGAUUGAAUGAGCCGAUGUCGGAUUAGCUAGUUGGCGGGGUAAAGGCCCACCAAGGCGACGAUCCGUAGCUGGUCUGAGAGGAUGAUCAGCCACACUGGAACUGAGACACGGUCCAGACUCCUACGGGAGGCAGCAGUGGGGAAUAUUCGACAAUGGGCGCAAGCCUGACCCAGCCAUCCCGCGUGGGUGAAGAAGGCCUUCGGGUUGUAAAGACCUUUUGUUGGGAAAGAAAAGCAGAAGGUUAAUACCCCGCUGUUCUGACGGUACCCAAAGAAUAAGCACCGGCUAACUUCGUG
rnacentral:rRNA from 1 species